ACAAAAUAGUGUAGACAAGUGGCAGAGAAAAUACAAGUAUUAUUUAUCCUUAUUAAGUUCACAGGCCGUGCAAGGAACAACAAUCCCACACCACACCUAUGGUGAGCUCAGAUAAGGUGUGGAAUUCUUUCACAAUAAACAUUAAUUCCUUCCCCCACAUCUUUCCUCCACCAUGCUUUUGUUUCUACGUUUUCCAGUCACAUUAAUUGUGGGGUUGCUCUGCUUUUUCAUCAUUAGGCAAUAGGCAAUGAAAUUAUUAUGUACCACGAUUGUGGCCCAUCCAUUAUUCAACACUCUCUCACCAAUGAAUGUUCCACCAGAGAGCAGCCUCCCUCCCAUUACACAGAAAUCUACUUGUAAAACAGGUUUAUCUUUUUAUUUCUGCAGGGCUGGAGCUCCCCUUAAAUUUUGAAAUUUUUAUCUAUAAAUUAUUAAAAUUAUAUUUUUACUAUAGUAAAAAUAUAUAACUUCACUAAAUCAAGACUUGUAUGAAAGCACAUUUAGUGCUAUAGAGCAUGAGAUGGUUCUAACUGUUAAUGAAAGUUUGGAGUUGGAAACUGGGUUGUGAAGGUGGACUACAGGAAAGAGGGAUGAGUUAAGGUGGGUGGGAGUUGGUAUUUCAAUUGUUCUCUAGUGUAAGUUAGUAAUUUGAGUAAGAAUGAAUGAAAGAUGGAAAUUGAUGAAUAGUGAAUUUAUUCACGUGAUUUUUUUUUUUUUUUAGCUUUGGAACCCAAAAUGCCUCAAGAUUGACUCAUCCUCUCACCUUGUCCUGCUUUGAGCGUGUCAAACUUGAUGUCCGUCUGAUAUUUGUGGCAUUAGAUCAUUUACUUGUUGUCCCACGUCCUUGACAACAUAGUUUCAAUAAGACUUUAUUCAAACAAAACUUGAUGAACAUAUAAUGGUAAAUCUGUACUAUACGUAGGCAAAUGGAAUCAUGGAAAAAGAAACCCAUCCCUAGCACUAGCAAAAGGGAAAGUAAUUUUGAAGGUAAAAUGUUGCUUUUUGAAAUAGAUGCUCCCAAGAUAGGUACAUGAUGAAAGAAUGAAUCUAAAAAAGUUGUGACGUGAAUACUUUGUUUAACUUAAAACUGUUGUUCUAAGGCUUUAAUUGUAUUAAAUGUAUCAAAUAUUAUGUUACAGAUAGAGAGAUACGGGCCCCAGGAUCUGCUGACAUGCAGACAUCAUUGGUGUUCCAGUAAUAACAGUUUUAUAUGCUACAAAAGCGGUUCACGUGGCAGAAUGUUGGCGCGUGUGUUUCCCCACCAUAGCUUUAGGCGACGUUGACAACAGUGAAAUGGGAAAUGGGUUCAAGUUUGGAUGACUUGGAUCCACUUCAACUUAUCCUACGUGUCAGGUCAUGUCUUUUUAUGAUCUAACUUAUUUUUGGUUAAGGGAAAAGAAGCCGAGGGUAACGUACCCUCAUGGCCCACUUUAAAAUGGUAAUGCCCAUUAUUUCUUCAUUCUGCAACUUUGGAUUAUUCAAUGCCCAAUAUCGUAUCCAACCUUGCUUCUAAUUUUCUUCAAGAUUAAAUUAUGCUAUUAGUCCUUGUAUUAUGACUAAAUUAUUAAUUUAGUUAUUAUACUUCAAUUUGAUAUUUUUAGUCUUUGUAUUUUUCAAAUAUUAAAAUUUCAGUAUUUGAUAUGUUUUUUUUUUAAUUUAUUAAGUUUUUUUUGUUGUUUUCAAAAACAUAUGUCACAAACAUAUUAUCACG
rnacentral:lncRNA from 1 species